GGGUGGCUGUAUAAAUGCAGCUUCCACGAGAAAUCGUGGUUGAAAAAUCGGGUGAAUUCAGGGAAGCCUGCCUCCCGCGGAAAUCGGGAAACGGUAACCCUGAGCCAAGCCCUGGUCGAACAAAAACGGUCAGGGAAGGUGCAGAGACUAGAGCCUAUGCUCGUACUCUGAGGCGGUCUCAGGGGAAGCGCCCGACACCCUCCCUUCAGUAUCCUGAAGCGGGUGAAGAGAUAGUCCAAGCCCAGAAGAAAUUUUGGG
rnacentral:ncRNA from 1 species